GAUCGGUAUAACUCUGGCAAACCGGGGCUAAUACCGGAUAAUACUUUUUAUCACAUGAUGAGAAGAUGAAAGGCGGCUCAUGCUGUCACUUGUAGAUGGGCCCGCGGCGCAUUAGCUAGUUGGUGGGUCAAUGGCUCACCAAGGCAACGAUGCGUACCCGACCUGAGAGGGUGAUCGGCCACACUGGGACUGAGACACGGCCCAGACUCCUACGGGAGGCAGCAGUAGGGAAUCUUCCGCAAUGGACGAAAGUCUGACGGAGCGACGCCGCGUGAGCGAUGAAGGUCUUCGGAUCGUAAAGCUCUGUUGUUAGGGAAGAACAAGUACAAGAGUAACUGCUUGUACCUUGACGGUACCUAACCAGAAAGCCACGGCUAACUACGUGCCAGCAGCCGCGGUAAUACGUAGGUGGCAAGCGUUGUNCNGNAAUUAUUGGGCGUAAAGCGCGCGCAGGCGGUCCUUUAAGUCUGAUGUGAAAAGCCACGGCUUAACCGUGGAGGGUCAUUGGAAACUGGGGGACUUGAGUACAGAAGAGGAGAGUGGAAUUCCACGUGUAGCGGUGAAAUGCGUAGAGAUGUGGAGGAACACCAGUGGCGAAGGCGACUCUCUGGUCUGUAACUGACGCUGAGGCGCGAAAGCAUGGGUAGCGAACAGGAUUAGAUACCCUGGUAGUCCAUGCCGUAAACGAUGAGUGCUAGGUGUUAGGGGGUUUCCGCCCCUUAGUGCUGAAGUUAACGCAUUAAGCACUCCGCCCUGGGGAGUACGGCCGCAAGGCUGAAACUCAAAAGAAUUGACGGGGGCCCGCACAAGCGGUGGAGCAUGUGGUUUAAUUCGAAGCAACGCGAAGAACCUUACCAGGUCUUGACAUCCUCUGACACCCCUAGAGAUAGGGCUUUCCCUUCGGGGACAGAGUGACAGGUGGUGCAUGGUUGUCGUCAGCUCGUGUCGUGAGAUGUUGGGUUAAGUCCCGCAACGAGCGCAACCCUUGAUCUUAGUUGCCAGCAUUUAGUUGGGCACUCUAAGGUGACUGCCGGUGACAAACCGGAGGAAGGUGGGGAUGACGUCAAAUCAUCAUGCCCCUUAUGACCUGGGCUACACACGUGCUACAAUGGAUGGUACAAAGGGCAGCGAAGCCGCGAGGUGAAGCAAAUCCCAUAAAACCAUUCUCAGUUCGGAUUGCAGGCUGCAACUCGCUCGCAUGAAGCCCGAAUCGCUAG
rnacentral:rRNA from 1 species